GCAUCGGUGGUGUAUGGUGCACACCUCCUUCCAUUGGCCCGACGAGUCAGUUGAAAGGAGGACGGGGUUCGACUCCCCGCCGAUGCA